AGUUUGGCUAAUAGGUGUUCCUAAGCAAUCUGACUUCAAAAAUAUGACAAAUUUUAAGCAUGGGAGAAGAAGAAACCCUAAAACCACAAUUUGGCGCCAGAUUUCAAAACCACACGAGAAAUUCCCACCCACUGUUUUUGUUUUCCCAAAUCCAAAACCCUCUUCAUUCUUGCCUCACUUUGCCCUAUAAAACCAUCUCGUCUUUCUUGUUCCAUAUUUUUAAUUUUUCUUCCCCAAAUUCUGUCCCUAUUGCUAAUUAAGUACGUUCUCUGUGCUAUCUGCACUGAUCGAUCUCUCGUUCUCGGUCCUUUGGCCAUGACACAUGGUAUAAAGUCGCUCGAUGUAUCGACGGAAUUGCCUGAAAUCGAAGGCAAUCACCCGGAAGCUUGUGGGUCCAAGGAGCAAGAUGGAGGCGGCGAUGUUCUGCCACAGGAAAAGGAGAAUGUUUUGGAAAACCAAGAAGCCGAAUUUGGAGGCCGAAACGGCGAGAAACUGGAAGGAAUUGAAAUGAGAGGGACGGAAAUUUGUGGUUAUGUGGACGAAAUGGAAGGUGGGUUUAUAGAUAAUAAAUUACGUACUAAGAUUGGGGAAGUGGAAACUGAUCAGAAAGGGAAAGAACGUAGUGAGAAAGCAGUAGAAAAUUGUGAUUCUCGGAAGGACGGAGGUCGUAGGUCGGUGAAGAAGCGUGGUAGGAAUCCAAAGAAGAAGGAGGAAACUUUGCAGAAAGGGAAAGAAAGUAGUGAUAAAGCAGUAGAAAAUUAUGAUUCUGGGAAGAACGAAGGCAAUAAGUUGGUGAAGAAGCGGGGUAGGAAGCCAAAGAAAAAGGAUGAAACUUUGCAGGUUCAGGAGGCUGAGCGUGGAACUGGUGAACAGAGUGGUGAAAAAGUGGA
rnacentral:misc_RNA from 1 species